GAGCUGCCCCUUCUACCUGACCCUGCAAUUAAAUCCCCGCGUGAGGCCCUUGUUGUCCGACAUCACAUGCUGUUGCCAUGAGGCAGUCAAAUUCAACCCUUGGAGAAGAAGCAGAGGGAGCAAUUCCCCACUACAACCACCACUACCAGAUUUCUGCACCCACCAGUGACUCUGAGGAGUUGUUGGAUCCAGACAUCCCUGACCUAGGACUGGAGGUCUCAACACCAAAUGUCUCGUUCCUGCCUGGCUGGCCCGCUCCUCAUCAUCCCCAGAGAGCUACAACAGCAGAGGAUGCAGUGAGGCUGGCAGGAGGAGCUUCAGGACUGCUGGCAAAAUGCCUGGCUAGCUAUAUGUGAGGGUACUCAGAAAGUGGGGGUAGCACACGGGAUUGUCUGACUCACAGCAAGUUAAGUUCUGAGGACUUUGGAAGCUGAGAGAGAAAGAUCAAGAGCUGCAAGCAAUGCUCCAGCAUGGGUCCAGAGGAGGAAAUGAGCUCUCCGUGGGUUGAAGUGAUGGAGGUGGCUGACGUGUAGCACAUCUAUAACCAUUGCCACAUCCCCUGGUGCUUUUUGGGCACGACUCAGACUCCAUCUCAGAUGAGGACGGCAAAAAAAAAAAAAGCCAUGAGAUCAAGAGCACCCGAGGCAAUAGUGAUGGAAACCAUGGCAGGCCUCAGCAUCAUGACUGGGCCUGUGUCAGAACCCUUUAUUGGAGGAGGUGGUGGAACCAGGAAUGCCAGAAUCAGGACCUACUUCUACAGGUGUAUCAGGGGACCUCUUGUGGUAUGUCUCACCUCCACGGAUGUAAAGAGGCAACGAUCUUCGUCCCAUCCUGUGUUUAUUGCAAUCCGCACUGUUUCCAUUUCGCUACAGUUUGGCUUCUGCUAAAACCUGUGUUAUUCGUCUCACUAUGCACUAUGGCCAAAAUGAGCAUAAUUAAUUAUGUAAUUCACUUCAGUCCAUUUCAAUGGAUGGGAAACAUCAAAAGCAAUGCAGAAAAUAACAUAAUUCUUUAUGCAAUGUUCACAGUGAAUACUGCUCUUAUUUCUGUUUCUGACUUCGGAGGGAAAAAGUGAAUUGUGGCAAUUUCAACUCCUGUUUCUGUUUCAACAGAACUUGCCGACAUCCAAGGGUGUAGUCAUCCAGGGUGUCAGAGAGUCUUAGACCCCUUACUUUUUUGGGAGCAGGGUCCCAGCAGGGUCCCAGUGUCUCCAGCAUCCUACGAGCCAAUCAGCAUGAAAGGGAAGUGUGUUUGCCACUAAGAAGAGCCUUCUAACAUGCUUCCUUGUCCUUUCCUGCUGAUGGGAGCCAAUCAGAGUGAAAGGAGGUGUGGCAGCCACUGGGUGUCAGUGGCAAUGUCAGAAGACUCUUCUCAGUAGCUAACACUUUCCCUUUCUGAUUGUCUCCUAGGGAUGUUUGUUGUUGUGGGAGAAUACAUUAACAAGGAUCUCAUUUUAAACCCAGCAAAAAAAAAGGAGGAGGGGUGUGGCUAUGACUGUAACUAUCAUGACGGGACCCAGCACUUCUGAAUUUGCCACUACACUACUGCCAAAAUCCUUACUCCCCACCCUCUCUGCUGGCAGGAUGGCAUUCUAGGACUCUUCCACUGGCCUUCAGGAGCAAUAGGACUGCACCCUUUGAAUAUUAUUUUAAUUUAAGUAUAUCUUGCAUGUCCUUCUUGUUUACAUACUAUUUCAGUUGAGAGCUCAACCAAGAUGAUGACAGAUCACAAUGAAAGGAGGAAGGGAAGAAAACCAGGAGAUUAUUCCUCCUGCGGUUGCCAUCUGGUUGGUUUGAUACACACUGUGCCAUUUUUUUCUGCCCCCCUGCUGUUGUUGGCAGUUCAGCCUCUAAAUUGUUUAAAAUUGCAUGCAUUUAAAUGAAUUAACAUAUGCAAACAUGCUACAGGUGUUUUUUUUUAAUGUCCCCUUUCUGGGAGAAGUGUCAUCCCUAAUUAAAGCUGCAGGAGUUCCCUCCGCGUCCCCCCGCUGCCUGACUGCUGAAGGUAGGUUGCGGUUAGGCAUCGUUGCCUGGGGCAUCAGUGGCACUUCCAGGGCAGGGUUUGGGGGCAGAAGCUCAGAACCCUGCCCACACCAAACCACAGUUUUUUUAAAAGGGGCACCAACGAGCUCCCCACUGAUUAUUGCCCAAAGGGCCCAGAAAUCUGACACCAGUCCUGCACAUUGCCAUCUAAAGCCUGGAUGGAGAAUUCUCAAGGCCCAGGGCCCUUCAGACUGUUCUAUCUCGCCCCCCAGGACUCUGCCCAGGUCACACAAACGCCUGGGCCACACUCCUCGCCAGCCCUGCUUUGCACUCUCCUUGAAUGUUUUUUCCUAGUGGAAACAUCUCCUUGAAUUCUGAUCGUGCUUGUCUCUUGCCUGGAUGGAAGACAGACAAGUGUGUGAGUGGGAAGAAACUAGCCGCUGUACCACAAGGAAAUCCCCAUUCAUUGUUAAAUCUGCUUUUGCCUCUGGCCUUGCCUACCACUGGCAUGUGGGCCCUGAAAAGUUGCCUAGAAGUAGGGAGGGGGGAGAAAUUGGAUUCAGUUUGUGUUUAAAGCCGAAUUUAUCAAAUUCACACAUUUCAAAACAGUAUGAGAACCGAAACCCAGCCACCUGUUGAAAAUUUGCAUGCAUCCAAAUUUUGCAAUGCAGUUCUCCGACCAAUGUUUACAGAAAUGCAUAUAUUAGGGGGAAGUGUAUAGACAAAUGAACAUAUUAGUGAAAAUAACAUAGAAAAACACAUUAUAUUAGGAGAAACUGCUUACAAAAAUGUGUACAUGACUUGAAAUUGUGGACAAAAACGUGCUUAUUACAGUAGAAUAAAUUGGCACGAACAUGCUGAAGAAUUUUCAUGAGGGUUUAUAAAGUAAAAUAGAAUUGCUGUCAGAGAAUUGAACUUAAGAUAAAGGUGAAACUGAGAGAACUGAAGCUGGCAAAUUCUUCCAUCUCUACCCAGAAGGGGAUGUGGUUCUUGGGCUGAAAGAGGUUCCCCACCCAUGAUCAUUAAGUUCUGAUUUGGUCUAAAUUUGCUACAGUACCGCCCUCAUGCCAUCAUCGCAGCAAGAGGGUAAAAGUCCCUCUUUCACAGGGACUCUAGUGUUUGGCUGUCCCUGGUAAAUAAUUCACCUGACUUCUCCCUCUGACACACACACCUUUGGGGAUGCCUUUUUAAAAUGACUGUUGCAAAUUGCUAGCUUUGCUCCUUGGAGGAAAGGUGAGAUA